GUAUAGCUCUGCUGUAGAGUCUUUCCAGUGCUACUUGGGUCUGUUGUGCUCGGAGUAAAGUCUCUUUCUUCAGAUGUCUCUCCCCAGCAGUCAGCAGUGCAGCACCAAAAUCUUAACCAGGUCUUCUGCUCAUUGCCAAAGUGAAGACUGAAGGACUGCCUUCUGACAUCCUGAGAAGAAAGGACUGAAAUUUGUAUGCUGACUCAUCUCCUGGAAGCCUUGUCUGUCUGCAGUCACACCUUUAUGGUGUGUAACCUGGGUCAGUGUGCAAGGUAAGGAUGGAGAUGAAGUCUCCAAGAUUACAGGAGCCUAAAUGAAGACCAAAAUUCACCGAGACCAACGUCUCACAGCUGUUCUUCAAACAGCAAUUAUGAGUUAAGUUUUCACUAGCAUGACUUAAAACGAAAUCUUGUUUUUUCUCUAAUCAAGUGAUCCCACACAGGAACACUAGCCCCAUUUUAGUGAACUUAUUUCUCUGAGAGCACAUUCAUCUGAGAACAUGUGUGAGUAUCAAACUAAUACACAGUAUUUUUAAACAGGUUUGAGAUUUAGGAAAAAAAAAGUCU